AUACGAAGGGGGCUAGCGUUGUUCGGAAUCACUGGGCGUAAAGCGCGCGUAGGUGGAUCAAUUAGUUGAGGGUGAAAUCCCGGGGCUCAACCUCGGAACUGCCUUCAAUACUGUUGAUCUUGAGACCGAGAGAGGUGAGUGGAAUUCCUAGUGUAGAGGUGAAAUUCGUUGAUAUUAGGAAGAACACCAGUGGCGAAGGCGGCUCACUGGCUCGGUACUGACGCUGAGGUGCGAAAGCGUGGGGAGCAAACAGGAUUAGAAACCCUAGUAGUCC
rnacentral:rRNA from 1 species